rnacentral:rRNA from 1 species
UACGUAGGGGGCUAGCGUUAUCCGGAAUUACUGGGCGUAAAGGGUGCGUAGGUGGUUUCUUAAGUCAGAGGUGAAAGGCUACGGCUCAACCGUAGUAAGCCUUUGAAACUGGGAAACUUGAGUGCAGGAGAGGAGAGUGGAAUUCCUAGUGUAGCGGUGAAAUGCGUAGAUAUUAGGAGGUACACCAGUUGCGAAGGCGGCUCUCUGGACUGUAACUGACACUGAGGCACGAAAGCGUGGGGAGCAAACAGG